AACUGAAUGGAGCUAUUAUAAGGUAUGUUUUCAUUGGCACUAUCUAAAUCCAUUGUAUUCCUUAUCAAUAGUUGGAAGAUCUUAGUUUUCAUUAUAAUCAGUAGAUUGCACUUUCAUGUAAGUUUGCAUGUGUUUCCUGCAUUUGAGCCUUAUUGUUGUAUUGUUUUACUAUUUAUUAAGCUUACAGAUAUGUGUUCCACAAUUUCUUAAAUAAUUUAGUGUCAGUGAGACAAUUGAUACAUGGAUUGAACCUUGGUAAUUUUACAUGACAAAUUCAAAAUUAGUGACCAUGAUGGGAUUUAACAAUUUCUGUAAAUGCUGUUGAAAAUAAGCUUGCUUUUCUCAUUGCUAGUUUUAUUGUUUAGGGCUUUAGUUGCUAUGUACUGGGUUACUGGCCUGGUCUCGCCUGACUCUUGUUUAUUGGGUUGUUUGUAACAAAAAAAUGGUUAAUUUAAGGUGUUCUCCCACUGGCCACACUCAUGUCAGUGCAGUUUUUAUUAAUUUGAAUAUUCUGGUAUCAAUGUAACUUGUAUGAUGUCUUCUAUUACUGGUGUUAAU
rnacentral:misc_RNA from 1 species